GGCGACAUGGCCGAGCGGUCUAAGGCGCUAGAAUCAGGUUUCUUUACCUAUCUAGUCUUUCGGGGCGUGAGUUCGAAUCUCACUGUCGUCA